CGCCUGCCCGUGAUAAAUUUAACGGCCGCGGUAUCAUGACCGUGCAAAGGUAGCGUAAUCACUUGUCUUUUAAAUAAAGACCAGUAUGAAAGGCAAAACGAAAAUUCAACUGUCUCUUUGAUCUAGUCGGUGAAAUUAAUCUCUUCGUGCAGAAGCGAAGAUGACCAUAUAAGACGAGAAGACCCUAUGGAGCUUAAAACAUAAGACCAACUACAUCUAUAUAAGACCAACAGGUGAAAGAUAAAUACAUGUAGUCAUAGCCUAAGUUUUGGGUUGGGGCGACCACGGAGAAGAAAAAAUCCUCCGAGAUAAGCAACUUAGAAAGAUACUUCGAAGACCAAGAUAUUUGUUAUAAAUGAUCCACUAAGUGACCAACAAACCAAGUUACCCUAGGGAUAACAGCGCAAUCCUUUCUAAGAGUCCCUAUCGACGAAUGGGUUUACGACCUCGAUGUUGGAUCAGGACACCCAAAUGGUGCAGCCGCUAUUAAAGGUUCGUUUGUUCAACGAUUAAAGUCCUACGUGAUCUGAGUUCAGACCGG
rnacentral:rRNA from 1 species